rnacentral:lncRNA from 1 species
AGCCGCAAUAUGCCGGCCGAGAAUUUGGCGGAGACAAAAGAGAGUUUAAUCCCUUAACCUGGCAACAUGUUUCAUCUAGCUCCGUUAACUACUUAACUCCAUAAUUUGCAUCCGUUCCAACUUCCUCCAUGUACAGUCUCAAGGUAACCAAUCUAGGCCACACAAGCUUACAGGAACCAUCUCGCUGCCACUGGAGAUCGGCAACCUUGUGAGUCUGAAGAGCCUGCACACAGGAAAACAAAAAUAAUACCACCCAGCAUAAGAUUUGGUAUUGAACUUGGGAUACAACUAAGUAGUUACUUCCUCCGAUCCAUAUUACUUGUCGCAGCUUUAGUACAACUUUAUACAGUCGAGCUGUAGAGAACAUACUUAGUUAAUUGUUUGAGAUAGAACAUGCCUUUCUGACCACCUCUUCGGGCUUUGCCUGCUUUUCCCACUCGAUGUGCUCUUGCAUACAUGGCUAUAUUUCUUCUUAGGCCUUGUACAAUGCUAGGUGCUUAGGGA